rnacentral:lncRNA from 1 species
AAAGAGACUUAAUUUACCCAUAAAGAAGUGGAAUACUGGCAGGCAUAUGGUAGGGGUAGGGAAAAGGAGAACAUUUUUGAUGGAUGGCACACUAUAUACAAAGAUUAGAGGUGAGAAAGAUUAUGGACUGUUGAUGGUAUGUUUUCUUGCAGCCAGAGAACAAGCUAGGAACAGAGUAAGGAGCCGCUCUAUGAUGAGCUCUGGAUGCCAAGAUGAAAUGAAUUCUCAAAAGAGGGAGGAACUCCAGGGAAAGACAGAGGGAAUGCAACAUUUCGGAGGAGGACAUGCUAAGCUAACUAAGAAUCAGCAAGUAAUACCAACACUCAGUUAUCUGCUGAGGGGGUCUUCAUCACCCAGAUACACAGGAGAGAUACUGGUGAUUUCUGGGAACUCUGGUUGUGUGACUGCAGACUUGACACCACAGGAAGUAAAGAGAACCCGUCCUCUCGUCCUCUGAAUACUGUAAUCUAAUAGAUAAUGAAUGAAAGAAAGUGCCAGAGAGGAGAAGCAGUUUAAAAAUUAUCUAAAAAAAAAACUCGCUUAUGAGAGAUGGAGAAGCUAAGGCCCAAAGGAUUGGAGCAAUGAGGUAACUCACAUUUUUGUGGAGCUGGUUAGUGAUGGAGCCAAAAACCUUUCUAGCUGCUUCUUCUUAGACUCUAUGGUAGCUUAGUGAACUUACUUAGUGAAGUCCCCUCUUUCCCAAACAGGACUGUCUCCUAUAAUUUCUUCCCCUUUCAUCCUGACAACAUUAAAGACUGU